GGCCGCGGGAAUCCCCAUUCAGGCCUAACACAUGCAAGUCGAACGGAAAGGCCCUGUUUGCAGGGUACUCGAGUGGCGAACGGGUGAGUAACACGUGGGUGAUCUGCCCUGCACUUCGGGAUAAGCCUGGGAAACUGGGUCUAAUACCGGAUAGGACCAUCGUUUAGUGUCGGUGGUGGAAAGUUUUUCGGUGCAGGAUGAGCUCGCGGCCUAUCAGCUUGUUGGUGGGGUAAUGGCCUACCAAGGCGUCGACGGGUAGCCGGCCUGAGAGGGUGGACGGCCACAUUGGGACUGAGACACGGCCCAGACUCCUACGGGAGGCAGCAGUGGGGAAUAUUGCACAAUGGGCGCAAGCCUGAUGCAGCGACGCCGCGUGGGGGAUGAAGGCCUUCGGGUUGUAAACUCCUUUCAACCAUGACGAAGCAUUAUGUGACGGUAGUGGUAGAAGAAGCACCGGCUAACUACGUGCCAGCAGGCGCGGUAAUACGUAGGGUGCGAGCGUUGUCCGGAAUUACUGGGCGUAAAGAGCUCGUAGGUGGUUUGUCGCGUCGUCUGUGAAAUUCCGGGGCUUAACUCCGGGCGUGCAGGCGAUACGGGCAUAACUUGAGUGCUGUAGGGGAGACUGGAAUUCCUGGUGUAGCGGUGAAAUGCGCAGAUAUCAGGAGGAACACCGAUGGCGAAGGCAGGUCUCUGGGCAGUAACUGACGCUGAGGAGCGAAAGCAUGGGUAGCGAACAGGAUUAGAUACCCCUGGUAGUCCAUGCCCGAAACGGUGGGCGCUAGGUGUGGGGGUCUUCCACGACUUC
rnacentral:rRNA from 1 species